GGCCCGGUAGCUCAGCAGGAUAGAGCAGCGCUUUCCUAAAGCGAAGGUCGGGGGUUCGAGUCCCUCCCGGGCCGCCA
rnacentral:tRNA from 30 species